GUUAGUCCCUGCGUGCGGUUCGUGUCCUCCGAGUGGAGCCGGAUCCCCGCCGCGGCCCACCUGGAGGGAGGGGAGAGAAGGCAUCCCCCUCCCUAACCGACCGAGCUUCUGCGCCUACCAGGGCCCGCCCCGCUGCGCUUUCCGGAGCCGCAACCUUGAGCUUAGGGGUGGUGAGGACUGCCCGAGGUCUAGAGUUCCCCCUGGGAAUACGGGACGGGAAGUGGAGGUUUUGCCCCGUCCCCGCGCCCCACCACCAUUUCUUUAAAGAUGGAUCUUUGUGGGUGUGUUCCUAAUGGCUAGUCUUUUGUUCCCUGACAUAUGCAACAUAAUGCCGACGCGACCCGAGUCCUCUUGGAGUUUUAUGGUAUAUGCCCAGGAGUGGGGUUGAAGGAUCAUAUGUGUGCAUCCGGAGCGGCACUGAGCCACCCCUCAUCCACCCGGCCACUCCGGCAUGGUUCUGGGCUGCCUGGUCACCUGGGGUUCGAUUGGGGGGUGUCCCCCCCAUCCUCCUGAAAUGAGAGUGAAGGGGGACUUGCUGAUUAUUCAGAAAUUUUGUUGAUCAAUGCAUUGAUUCGUAUGUACUUCUGUAAUUUUCUUUUUUGGUGGAAGACUGGGGAGGGCCAGGCUCUGAGACAUUCCUGCGUGGAUGGGAGCCCAGAAGACAGGACAGGGUCUCCCCGGUUUGUGUGCAUGGAAGGUUCCCAAGAACGCAGCUGCACGUGUAUGGCCCAGGGUAGGGUGGCUUCGGGGCCAGUUGUGUCCAGGGUGGCAGUGCUGGGCUGGCUGGGAUGCCCUGCCUUUCCUGAGAAGCCGGACCUGCUUAGGGGUAUUGGGUUUUAGAACAGGAGCCUUAUUCCAGGCUCUGAGACCUGGUGAGCUGGUCAUUUUGCAAACCCCUCCUGCAGUGGAUUUGAGGUCGUUCCUCCGACUGUGACCCUAAAGCCUGGUUUCUCUCGGCCAGAUGUUGUCUGCCCAUCUCACCUCCUUAGCUCCUGGGUCUCCACCCUGCUCAGCUGGUGCCCCCUGUCCCCCCGGCUGAGCCAAGGUUAUUCUGGGUGGAGGUGGGGCUCCUGGGGGCUUGUCAAGCAGCAGACAUACCCCUCUUAAUGCAAGAACACCAUUCCACAAGAAUGUCACCAGAUCCCACAGCAACAGGAUCUUCCCUCUGGCUGAGGAUUGGGCAGGUGGCCUGUCUGUGGGUGGGUGGGUGGAUGGAUGGGGAGGUGAGCAAGCAGCAAUCAGGACUCUGCACCUGUGUUCCACCCCGGGUCUCAUGAGCCUCCUGGAUCAGCAGGGGAAAUUCACUCUCGAGGUAUUUCUAAGAUUCCCUCCCAGGUGCUGACUCAAAAGCUCUUAUCAUCCAAGAUGAUGGCCAUUUGUGGGAUCCUGACCACCACGAUCCUCCUUCCUGGCUAAUCCCAGCCCCCUGCUCCUGCGAUCAGAGAUGGUUUUAAGGUGCUGAGUUUGCUCUGGAGCCUCAGCGUUCUUCUGCCCAGGGGAAGGGACAGCUCCAAGAUGGAGGACUGAGGCUCAGGAGAUCAGGAGACUUAACCAGAGGACACACAGCUCGGAUGCAACAGAGCUAGGAUUUAGAUCUGCAGCUUCUGCCUCCCAAGGCCAGUGCUCUUUAAGUAAAAUUGUUGUUUAUAAUUAGCAUAUGUAGUUAUAACAAGAUGUGGUCAUCACAGUGUCCCAAGGUUGGGGGUGCCUCUGUCUCGUGGAGGAGGUAUCUGCUCCCCAGGGAGGCUGGGUGAUCGUCCCUGAGUCUUCCCAAUGCUCAGUGUGUACGUGGCCAGCUUGGACCCACAGCCUGCCAUGCUGCCAAGGAUCCCAGCUCUGGGCAAAGCAGGAUUUAGCCCCGUUUUCAGAACAGGCAGGAGGCAUGGCCCAGGUCCCACAGCGGGUGGUGCCCUGGGCUCCCUAGUCCCUGCUCCUCGCCUGGACGGAGGUGUCUGGGAAGCAGCACAGCCGGUGAGGGGCUUGCUUCUCCAGGCCCUGCUCUGAGUGGGGCGGCCCUCAGGGUCAGGACCCCUGCUGGGGGUUCUGCAGGCUCCUGAAAGCUGUCCUCGGCCCUCCCUCUCUGCUACAGAGCUGGACUCCCGGAGCCUCGCCGGAGGGCUGCCCGGGCAGGCGGCCAGCAGAGAACUAGCGGGCAGGCGCACUGUUGGAUCCAGGAAGUGGUCACUGUUCCUGGGCCGGUCUGGGGGCUGGAGGGCCAGCCUGCCUCGGACGUAACAGCGGGGAUGGGAGCUGAGAACACCACUCUCCCAGGGCCCGGUGGCUCUGGGCCCAGCCCACGGCCAUCCUUUGGCAGGGAGGGCCCCAGCCUUGCCGUGCCUUCCCUUGCUGGGCCCUGGCUCUUUCUCAGCGGGCUCUCGCCCUGCUCCCCACCAUCUCUCUGCAGCAGCGACAUCCGUUUAAGCUGCAUCCCAGAAGACAGGAUGGCUGGGCAGGCAGAUACAGCCAGCACCUUGGUGGGAAGUGGGGCAGGGGCCCUCAGCUCAGGCUUCUUUUGCCCACAUUCUAGGAGAUCUGGGCUGGGAGGUGGCCCCGAGCUGCCAAGAGCAGACAGGCUGAGGCCAGAGCUUGGAGCUCCUGGAGGUGGCAGGAGUUUGUCCAGCAGCCUGAUCAGCGACAGCCACUUCACGGGGGCCGUGGGAGGACCCUUCACCAGAGAACUCAGGAAGUACCUGGCAUGAGAAUGUGCGAGCGCCACCGCACCGCCCAGGACGGUGGGAGUUGCCAGGUUGAUGGUGGCCAUUCCUGUUCUCCACUGGAAGACAGAGCCAACAAAGAGGAGUCAAGAAGUGGAGAAAGUGUGCUGUCCAGACAUCAGUGAGGAAACUGAGGUCCAGAGAGGUGGAAUGACUUGUCCCCGGUCCCAUAGCCGAUGGAUCCUGUGGCUGGUGCAGGGACCAUAGGUAACAGCAGUUACGUGGCUGGAGGAACAGGGCGUGGUGUUUGGGUGUCCCUUCAUAAAGAGCCCCUGGGACUGCGUGGGGAGGGACUGUUGGGAUGAGCUGCAGCCGAGGGCCUCACCUUUUUUACCCCCGGACCAAUAUCGUGCAUUUCUCCUCUGUGGACUCCACAGUUUGAAAGAUGAUGUUUACUAAACAGUCUGCGUUUAUUCCAUGCAAGUGGCAGCCAGCAUCCACUUCCCCAAAUGUAUUUCUCUAACACGUAAAGACAUCUAGAACUGCCUGUCUGAGCUAACAGUUACUUCAUAUGAGCAUGCUUGGAGGAAGACAUGGAGUUGAAAUCUCUCCAGCCAAAGCUAGAGACUUUUUUUUUUCUUUUUUUUUUUUUGCCUUGGGGCCAACAAAUCAUGCACCCAUCCUAGAAUUCUGGAAGAUGUCAAGUUGGGAGUCCCCAGUUUAGUCCUGCCUCUCUCAUCUCACAGAUGCUUCAGCCAGGUCUCUUUCUUGGUCCUCUCUCUGUUCAGGUCAGGUCCCUGGAGGUCAAGGAGAGCCUUGUCCCAGUGCUCAUAUCGUGGGUCCAUGUGGGUCAUUUCCCUUGGGACUUACAGUCACCCCCUGGAUCCAACUCUGCUGAACCCAGAUGCACCUCUGGGCCCUCUGGGCCCCCUGGAGGUGUUCAAGUAUUAGUGCUUAAUCCCUUGCCAAAGGUUCUGUUUUCUAGGGACAUGUGCAAUCUGGCUCCUGGGUCUGUACUCCAUGGCCUCAGUGAAUGUCGAACAAGAGGAGAGGUCUGAUCAGCCAAAUCCUCUCUGACGUCAGAGACCCUGGCCUCCCCCACUAACCUCUGUCCAGGACGAAAGGAUCCAGACUCCUUAUCCUCCACUUGCUAGAUGUGUGAUGCUGGCAAGUUACUCAGCCUCUCUGAGCCAGCUUCCCAUCUGUAUGAUGAGGGUUGACUCAAAAGAUGAAAAGCCGUGGAACUGCAUUUACAGGACUAUAAUUGUUAUUUAUCCUUUACUGUGAGCAUCUCCUUUUGGCUGAAGCUAAUUGGAUUGGGGUUUGUGUUUGGUCCUGUUUCGUUGAAUUGGAUGAGAUGUAUCAGGCCCCUGGGACGGAGCUCCCCCGACCGCUUUUGUGGGCCUGUGACCCACACAGUCACGCAGGGCCUGUAUGCAGAAGGGCCCUGUGCUUGGUGGAUGCUUGGCUGUUGCUGUCUUGAAAUUCAAAACAGUUUUUGAAUAAGUGUCCCAUAAUUAUGUGGCCAGCCCUGAGCUCACUGCCUUGCUGAUAGAGGCCUGAGUGAUCUGAGAAACUCUCGUUGGGCAGCUUUCCCUGGGAGGAAAGGCAGAGUCCUUAGGCAGGUCCUGAGGUAGCCACAAAAAAUUAAAGUGAUAGACCAUGGACCUGAAUGUUGGCUUGUGAAUGUUCCCCCUGCUGUGAUGUCAGGCUGGGCUUCUCCAAGUUUCCAUCCUACAAAGGGGCUGAAAGAUUGGUGAACCUUGGUCUCUGCAAAGGAGGUAGGAUUAUUCUGAUGAGAGCGUCAGUGCUGAAUGACCUGCCCAAGGUCCCACUGCUUAUAAAUGGCAGGUCCUAGAUUCAAGUCCAUGGUCCUGAUUCCCAGACCCCAACCCUCUCUGUUCCACUACACUGCCUCCAGACCGAUGCCACGUGUGAUGCAGCAGACCUGGGUUUGCAUUUUAGAUCUGUUCCCAGUUUGCUGUGUGUCCUUUCAUGAGGGACUUACCCUUUCUGAACUACUUACCCCAGCAUCUGAGAGUAGAUAAACUUUAAACGUCCCUUUCCAACAGAAUCACUAUGAAACUAAAGAAAAUAGUUAAAUUUUAUCUAUAGAUAGAUUCCAGCUAACAAAAGCAGAAGGAAUGAAAUAGGACACCAUUUUGCAGUCCCUAACAAAUUAAUUGCAUGAAUGAUGGCUAACAUCACAAAAGAGAAUCAGAUACCAUGUACCUCCUGAUACAUCUCAACACCACCAAUGACAAAGUCUUGCCAAUAAAAAAAAAAAAUCAAACUUGAAUCUGAUCAAAUCUCUGCU